GAUGAACGCUAGCUACAGGCUUAACACAUGCAAGUCGUGGGGCAUCAUGAUGUAGUAAUACAUUGAUGGCGACCGGCGCACGGGUGAGUAACGCGUAUCCAACCUACCCUCCACUCAAGUAUAGGCUUCCGAAAGGGAGAUUAAUCCUUGAUAUCGUCAUUCUCUCUCCUGUUAGAAUGAUAAAAGGACAUCGUUUCGGUAGAGGAUGGGGAUGCGUUCCAUUAGGUAGUAGGCGGUUUAACAGGCCACCUAGCCGAUGAUGGAUAGGGGUUCUGAGAGGAAUAUCCCCCACACUGGUACUGAGAUACGGACCAGACUCCUACGGGAGGCAGCAGUGAGGAAUAUUGGUCAAUGGGCGCAAGCCUGAACCAGCCAUGUAGCGUGAAGGAUGACGGUUUUUUUGAUUGUAAACUUCUUUUCUGUGCGAUUAAAA
rnacentral:rRNA from 1 species